ensembl:snRNA U2 U2 spliceosomal RNA
AUCGCUUCUCGGCCUUUUGGCUAAGAUCAAGUGUAGUAUCUGUUCUUAUCAGUUUAAUAUCUGAUACGUCCUCUAUCCGAGGACAAUAUAUCAAAUGGAUUUUUGGAGUAGGGAGAUGGAAUUGGAGCUUGCUCCAUCCACUCCACGCAUCGACCUGGCAUUGCAGUACUUCCAGGAACGGUGCACCCCCU